CAGAUUAUCAGAUUUGAAUGGCUUUGCCUUGUACAUCGAGAUUACUCUGUACAUGAGAGACCGUCGAUUUUGAGAUACUGGGAAAAGCAUGUUGAAGCGAAAGAGACCAUUUCAUAGUAUGUAAUGUAUAGUUGGGGAACUCAUGUUUAUUAAGUACUUGUCUAAUAUUUGGUGUGUCAUGCACUUCGUAGAAAGGUUGGUAAUUAAUGUAAUGCUUGCAUGUUGACAAGAUGAUGUUGUAGAAGCACUUAGUCGAAUUUUGUUAUAUUUUGUAGUAGUUGUGGUGGUAUUAGAGGAAGUGGUGGUUUCUAAAACUUUUGGUUUAAAUGUCUAUUUGAGAUUUUGAUGAUUUUUCA